UACAGAGGUCUCAAGCGUUGUUCGGAUUCAUUGGGCGUAAAGGGUGCGUAGGCGGUUCGGUAAGUCGGGUGUGAAAUCUUGGAGCUUAACUCCGAAACUGCAUUCGAUACUGCCGUGCUUGAGGACUGGAGAGGAGACUGGAAUUUACGGUGUAGCGGUGAAAUGCGUAGAUAUCGUAAGGAAGACCAGUGGCGAAGGCGGGUCUCUGGACAGUUCCUGACGCUGAGGCACGAAGGCCAGGGGAGCAAACGGG
rnacentral:rRNA from 1 species